ACGGGUGAGUAAUAUAUCGGAACGUACCGAGUAAUGGGGGAUAACUAAUCGAAAGAUUAGCUAAUACCGCAUAUUCUCUGAGGAGGAAAGCAGGAGACCUUCGGGCCUUGCGUUAUUCGAGCGGCCGAUAUCUGAUUAGCUAGUUGGUGGGGUAAAGGCCUACCAAGCCGACGAUCUCUAGCUGGUCUGAGAGGAUGACCAGCCACACUGGGACUGAGACACGGCCCAGACUCCUACGGGAGGCAGCAGUGGGGAAUAUUGCGCAAUGGGGGCAACCCUGACGCAGCCAUGCCGCGUGAAUGAAGAAGGCCUUCGGGUUGUAAAGUUCUUUCGGUAGCGAGGAAGGCAUUUAGUUUAAUAGACUAGGUGAUUGACGUUAACUACAGAAGAAGCACCGGCUAACUCCGUGCCAGCAGCCGCGGUAAUACGGAGGGUGCGAGCGUUAAUCGGAAUAACUGGGCGUAAAGGGCACGCAGGCGGUGACUUAAGUGAGGUGUGAAAGCCCCGGGCUUAACCUGGGAAUUGCAUUUCAUACUGGGUCGCUAGAGUACUUUAGGGAGGGGUAGAAUUCCACGUGUAGCGGUGAAAUGCGUAGAGAUGUGGAGGAAUACCGAAGGCGAAGGCAGCCCCUUGGGAAUGUACUGACGCUCAUGUGCGAAAGCGUGGGGAGCAAACAGGAUUAGAUACCCU
rnacentral:rRNA from 1 species